AUUGAACGCUGGCGGCAGGCCUAACACAUGCAAGUCGAACGAGUGGCGGACGGGUGAGUAAUGUCUGGGAAACUGCCCGAUGGAGGGGGAUAACUACUGGAAACGGUAGCUAAUACCGCAUACUAUCUGAUGUGCCGAGAUGGGAUUAGCUAGUUGGUGGGGUAAAGGCUCACCAAGGCAACGAUCCCUAGCUGGUCUGCGAGGAUGACCGGCCACACGGGACCUGAGAAACGGUCCAGACUCCUACGGGAGGCAGCAGUGGGGAAUAUUGCACAAUGGGCGAAAUCCUGACGCAGCCAUGCCGCGUGGAUGAAGAAGGCCUUCGGGUUUUAAAGUACUUUCAGCGGGGAGGCGUUACCCGCAGAAGAAGCACCGGCUAACUCCGUGCCAGCAGCCGCGGUAAUUC
rnacentral:rRNA from 1 species